AUUAGUAACAAUAGAAUUAGUAAGAUUUGGCCGAAUUAUAAGAUUUGUUCUUUUUUUUUAAUGUCUAAAAAUAAUGUGACUGACAGAGGAAAGUUAUUGUGUGCUGGAAGCCUCCUGUUGCCUUUAGCUGCUGGACUGAUCCUCAGGGGACUGUGUAGGCUGACUGUCCACAUCCAAUCCAGUGAAGGUGGGCUCUGGAGGUUGGAGGGAUGGUGGCAGACAUGCUUCUGCAGGUGGGGGCAGAGGUUGUUCAGGAGUAUGAAGGAGGGGUGGUGCUGCUGGUGGGAGAGAUGCUUCCAAAACAGGCGCUGGAGCUUCUUCUGCUGUGCCACUCUCAAUCCCAAAUGAAAUUCCAAUUACUGAGGGGGAGUCCUCUCCAACAAUGUCCAAAACCAGUGAAGAGUAUGUCUGGCUUUAGUCUACCUCCUGUUGGGACGUGUCUUGGAAAGUCCUCAACUGCCUGCAUUUUAAGGUCACUCCUCUUCUUCCUCACUUCUUUCACAUCCCUGUGCUCCACUCCCUUUACACUGAUGGCGCCUGUGAUAUCCUCCCAUAUUUGUUGUUUUUUUUUUAUUGGUGACAAAGUUAUUACAUUUAGAUUCCAGUGAUUCUUUGCUUUGUUUAUAUUUUGUGAGACAGAUGGCCAAAUCCCUGAAACAGUACACAAACUAAUGUCAACAUAGUAAUUUAUUACACUAUGUUAUAGGACUAGCACUUGAAAGAUUAAUGUUAGACACUGACGUUAUAGUGUUGGCAAGCAAAUAUAUAGCGUUAAACAACUUUCUAAUUAACAACUACUAAUUUAUAACAGUUUUUGCUAGUGUGGGCUAUCAUUAUGUGUGUUACAACGUUACAAUUUCAUCUCAAACAGUGUACCGUUAUGUUACCCUAUGCUGCAGUUGAAGGUUUCACCACUCAAUGUCACCAUUGUUAUUUUUCACUAGCUGUAGACCAAGGUUGUAAGUGAGGUAACACCUUAUCAUAAUGUUUUGCCCGAGUUAAAUCACCUUUUUUGUUGCUGUUUGGUGAUUACCGUUUUUUAGCUUUUUUUUUAGCUGUUAAUGUCAGCCGUUUAAUGUCUAAUGUCUUGGCAAUUGUGUAGCAAAGUGUUAAAAGACAAAUGGGCACGAGCUUGUUUUUGCACACACUUAAUGAGCAUGACAGGUUUUAACAUAUAAAAAUAAUGUUACAUUAAAAACAACAAUAAAUACA